rnacentral:rRNA from 1 species
CACCGCCCGUCACACCAUGGGAGUUGAUUGCACCAGAAGCAGGUAGCCUGACCGCAAGGGGGCGCCUACCACGGUGUGGUCAAUGACUGGGGUG